GGAAGAGCAUGCAGUGCACUUAACCAUUGAGCCAUCUCUCCACUCCAAGGAGUGCAAAGGCCAUGCCAAUUUGUCCUCUAACCCCACACUGGUGCAAGCUAGCUGCUGAACCUGGUGGUUCUGAUCUCUUCCCCUUUUGCCCUUUAGGAUGGCAGUGCACCUUACGGGGCAAGGUACGUGGGUUCCAUGGUGGCUGAUGUGCAUCGCACCCUGGUCUAUGGAGGAAUCUUCAUGUACCCAGCCAACCAGAAGAGUCCUAAUGGCAAGCUCCGGCUCCUGUAUGAAUGCAAUCCUGUAGCCUAUAUCAUUGAGCAGGCAGGAGGCAUGGCAACCACAGGCACCCAGCCGGUACUGGAUGUAAAGCCUGAGAGCAUUCACCAGCGAGUCCCCCUCAUUCUGGGGUCCCCGGAAGAUGUGCAAGAAUAUCUCAGCUGUGUGCAAAGAAACCAGGCAGGCAGGUAGUGAUCCUGAACUCAUGAGCCCACUUCCCUUUGUCUUUGACAAAUGAAAAACUAGAUGAAUGGAGAUGGGGGUAAAGACAAGCAUGCCACGCUCAACAGGUUACCUUCAGAACAGCGCUUAGCUGGCAAGCACAGGGUUAGAAGCCAGAGGUAAAGAUAUGAUUGAAGGGCUAAAAUAAAAAUAUGAAUGUGAAAAG
rnacentral:lncRNA from 1 species